UACGGGGGGGGCAAGCGUUGUUCGGAAUUACUGGGCGUAAAGGGCUCGUAGGCGGCCAACUAAGUCAGACGUGAAAUCCCUCGGCUUAACCGGGGAACUGCAUCUGAUACUGGAUGGCUUGAGUUCGGGAGAGGGAUGUGGAAUUCCAGGUGUAGCGGUGAAAUGCGUAGAUAUCUAGAGGAACACCGGUGGCGAAGGCGGCAUCCUGGACCGACACUGACGCUGGGGAGCGAAAGCCAGGGGAGCAAACGGG
rnacentral:rRNA from 1 species